CUAACGGUAAAACGUGAUGUCACGAGCUUUAAUACAGGUGUCCGAUCUAACUAGCGGUAAAACGUGAUGUCACUAGCUUUAAUACAGGUGUCCGAUCUAACUAGCGGUAAAACGUGAUGUCACGAGCUUUAAUACAGGUGUCCUAUCUAACUAGCGGUAAAACUGGAUGUCACAAGGUUUAAUACAGGUGUCCUAUCUAACUAGCGGUAAAACUGGAUGUCACAAGGUUUAAUAAAGAUGUCCGAUCUAACUAGCGGUAAAACUGGAUGUCACGGGCUUUAAUACAGGUGUCCGAUCUAACCAACGGUAAAACUGGAUGUCACGAGCUGUAAUACAGGUGUCUGAUCUAACUAGCGGUAAAACGUGAUGUCACGAGCUUUAAUACAGGUGUCCGAUCUAACUAGCGGUAAAAUUGGAUGUCACGAGGUUUAAUACAGGUGUCCGAUCUAACUAGCGGUAAAACUGGAUGUCACGAGCUUUAAUAAAGGUGUCCGAUCACACAGGUGGCAAUGAGCGUGAUGUUAUCUAGCCUUAGUGCAACUGUCUUUACAAGCAGACAUCCGAUCAAGCAUGCAGUGAUACCCGAAUGUCAACAAGCCCUCAAACAGGUGCCCGCUCUAACAUGUGUGCAACAUGCGUGCUGUCGGCGAGCUCUACUGCCUGUACCCCUUCAUACAAUCUGAGGCAAACUCGCUCAUCCAGAGGCACGUCGCGUCAUGUUUCAAGUAUGCAGACAAAACUUGAUUCACUGUCUGUUGACCUGCUCAGCCUGUUGACAGCGACAGGGGUAUGAAUGAGCGGGGCACAAGGACGACACACACCGGUACCCCGAUCUCAGUCCACCGGCAGCCAUUACCCCUCGACUGCACUCAGCCACCCUAGAGACGCCUCUGACUGAGUGGGUGUGCGUGGUGAUAGAAUCGUUGAGGGUGCAAGUGAAGUGUGCAGCCAAAUACACAUUGCAAUAUCAUAUCAACAUAACUUCAGACCAGAUAAUCUGACUUUCUGUCUGUCCGUGAUACGCUCGUCAGUGAGGAAGAGCAUAUAGUCGUACACCCAUUGAAAUCCACAGGUUCAAGCUAUUAAGGAAUGAGUCAAAAGAAAGGAGACAAAUUAAACCAUAUAAUGGAUGUUACUUAUCAACAUGGAUCCAUAGUUUAUGAUGAUUUCCGCUUCAUCCCGAAUUACGUAAAAUGAAUACUUAAUGUAUGCGUGUUACUGGUAGAAGGUAUAUUACUAAGAUCGACGGUUUGGAUUCGAAUCUACAAAAACAUUUGCCUUGGUGACCCUCGUGAUGUCGAUCACUUGACUGUCUGGUCGAAAGAUCUUGUUUACAAUCGUCAAUUUGGUGGACAAUUGCUUAGUGAAGGAAUAUCACACCGGAAAGAAAAAUACUAUACGUGUGACGAACGUGUAAGGUCACACGAGUUACCUCCCUUUAACUGUUCACAAUGAUAUGUCGAUAUUUACACAUUUACGCUGAGAAUAAUAAAAGCAUUUUUCACCGGUAACAAUAUAUGUCUUCCUUACUCGUUGAAAAAGCAGACUUAAGCAGCAUGACGUCCGCGCUCGUAUUCUGAAGGUAUGUGCUUACUGCAAAUGAAGCGUCCCUAAAAUAUACUCUCCACAUCCACACGAAAACAAAC